rnacentral:rRNA from 1 species
CCUACCGAGCCUAGUUAUAGCUGGUUGCUUAAGAAAUGAAUGUUAGUUCAGCCUUAUGUAAUUCUAUAACCAAAACUUAUUAACAAAAAGAACAAAAGCAAUACAUAAGAGUUAGUCAAAGGGGGUACAGCCCCUUUGAAACAGAACACAACCUUAUUCAGGAGGACAAGGAUCAUACCAUAAAAGGACAAAAUUACCUCAGUGGGCCCAAAAGCAGCCACCUGUAAAGAAAGCGUUAAAGCUCCGGUAAAUACAGACCAAUAAUAAAGACAAUACACUCCCCACCCCCUAAAAAUAUUAAGCUAUCCUAUGCACACAUAGGAGAAACAAUGCUAAAAUCAGUAAUAAGAGGGCCCAAGCCCUCUCCUAGCACAUGUGUAAGUCAGAACGGACCGACCACUGACAAUCAACGGACCCAAACAGAGAGAAAAAGAACAAACUACAAAAAACAAGAAAAAUUUAUUUAAUACCACAAACCGUUAACCCAACACAGGAGUGCCUAAAGGAAAGACUAAAAGGAGAAGAAGGAACUCGGCAAACACAAACCCCGCCUGUUUACCAAAAACAUCGCCUCUUGCUAACAAAGGAAGUACUAGAGGUCCCGCCUGCCCUGUGACCACAAAGUUUAACGGCCGCGGUAUCCUGACCGUGCGAAGGUAGCGUAAUCAUUUGUCUUUUAAAUAGAGACCUGUAUGAAUGGCAUAACGAGGGUUUAACUGUCUCCUUCCCCUAGUCAAUGAAAUUGAUCUGCCCGUGCAGAAGCGGACAUAAAUACAUAAGACGAGAAGACCCUAUGGAGCUUUAGACAAAAGAUCAAACAUGUAAAGAAACCAAGUUAACCAAAAGGAACACAAAGGCCACGAAACCCGACGUAAACUGAUCCAAAUGUCUUCGGUUGGGGCGACCAUGGGGGAAAAAAAAGCCCCCACGAGGAACAGGGACUAAUCCCUAAGCCAAGAGAGACAUCUCUAAGCAACAGAAAAUCUGACCAAAAGUGACCCAGAAUACUAAUUCUGAUCAACGAACCAAGUUACCCUAGGGAUAACAGCGCAAUCCUUUCCC